rnacentral:rRNA from 1 species
ACGUAGGGGGCAAGCGUUGUCCGGAAUCAUUGGGCGUAAAGCGCGUGUAGGCGGCUCGGUAAGCCUGCUCUGAAAGCCCGGGGCUCAACCCUGGGAGGCGGGUGGAUACUGCUGAGCUCGAGUCCGGAAGAGGCGAGUGGAAUUCCUGGUGUAGCGGUGAAAUGCGCAGAUAUCAGGAGGAACACCAACGGCGAAGGCAGCUCGCUGGGACGGUACUGACGCUGAGACGCGAAAGCGUGGGGAGCAAACAGGA